CCUGGACCCACAGUGCAGCCAGGGCUUCACUGACUGUUAUAAAUAGAUAGCAUACCCUCUCCAAAGAAGACCUUCCUAGUCAUUAUGGAUCUCCUGUAAACAGUGAUCUAAGCUUCUUCCCCAAUGCUACUUUGCCAUUGGAUGAAGCAAACUGUCAGGUGAGCUCACUAGCAAAUGUGCCUGUGAGCACAGCCCACUCCUGCGUCUCCACUAUGGCGUCCUUUGUGCUCUGCUGAUGGUGGAGAUUCUGCAGUGGAACCCUAGGAAAUCAUGGUGCUUUGUGAAAAACUCCUCAGUCUGCGGCGUGAACCUGGAGCACAGACAAGGAUAGCUCCAGGCUUCUUUUCAAAUCCUCUGGAGAGGGAAUGUCUGCGAGAGGAAGUCUUGGGGAAGAGCAGAGAGAGAAAGAUGUAAAUCAUGGUAACUUCAUAAAACAGAGUUUUCUUGUAAUAUUCUUUGGUAAUGUUGAGCUGAAAAUAGAUUUACAAUCAAAAGGGGCUUAAUCUGAUAUUAAAGAAUUCUCUUAAAAUGCCCCAAA